UUCGCAGCCCCCGGUAAUACGUAGGGUGCGAGCGUUGUCCGGAAUUACUGGGCGUAAAGAGCUCGUAGGUGGUUUGUUGCGUCGUCUGUGAAAUUCCGGGGCUUAACUUCGGGGUGGCAGGCGAUACGGGCAUAACUAGAGUGCUGUAGGGGAGACUGGAAUUCCUGGUGUAGCGGUGGAAUGCGCAGAUAUCAGGAGGAACACCGAUGGCGAAGGCAGGUCUCUGGGCAGUAACUGACGCUGAGGAGCGAAAGCAUGGGGAGCGAACAGGAUUAGAUACCCUGGUAGUCCAUGCUGUAAACGGUGGGCGUUAGGUGUGGGGACCGGUUUGGUUUCUGUGCCGUAGCUAACGCAUUAAGCGCCCCGCCUGGGGAGUACGGCCGCAAGGCUAAAACUCAAAGGAAUUGACGGA
rnacentral:rRNA from 1 species